UCGUAACGCACUUCUUGGGCGUUUCCUCCCUAAACUCGGGCCGCAGCGAUGCGGCCUGUUUUCUUUUGGGCC
rnacentral:sRNA from 1 species